AUUGAACGCUGGCGGCACGCCUAACACAUGCAAGUCGAGCGGCAGCGAGACUAGUAGCAAUACUAGUUGUCGGCGAGCGGCGGACGGGUGAGUAACACGUAGGAAUCUGCCCUUAAGCGGGGGAUAACCAAGGGAAACUUUGGCUAAUACCGCAUAAUCUCGAGAGAGCAAAGCUGCCCGCAAGGGUGGCACUUGAGGAGGAGCCUGCGUCCGAUUAGCUAGUUGGUGGGGUAAUGGCCGACCAAGGCGAUGAUCGGUAACUGGUCUGAGAGGCCGACCAGUCACACUGGGACUAGGACACGGCCCAGACUCCGACAGGAUGCAGCAGUGGGGAAUAAUGGACAAUGGGGGCAACCCUGAUCCAGCGAUGCCGCGUGAGUGAAGAAGGCCUUCGGGUCGUAAAGCUCUUUAGGUUGGGCAGAAGGGUAUUGGCUGAAUAAUCCAGUACUUUGACAGUACCGACAGAAUAAGCACCGGCAAACUCUGUGCCAGCCGCCGCCGUAAUAC
rnacentral:rRNA from 1 species